GGGGUUGUGGCUCAAUGGUAGAGCACUUGCCUAGCACGUGUGAGGCACUGGGUUUGAUUCUCAGCACCA
rnacentral:tRNA from 1 species